rfam:Glaciecola punicea DSM 14233 = ACAM 611 DNA, contig: CTG007.
UUGCGAACCUGAAUUAGUGAUUGGGUUCGUUUCACAUUAUUUUUUGGAGAUAUUAUGUCACUAACUACAGUAGAAACAGCUAAAAUAAUUGCCGAGCACGGCCUUAAAGAA